UACAGAGGGUGCGAGCGUUGUCCGGAAUCACUGGGCGUAAAGGGCGCGUAGGCGGCUUGAUAAGCGUGCGGUGAAAGCCCGGGGCUCAACCCCGGGUCGGCCGUGCGAACUGUCGAGCUGGAGCACUGUAGAGGCAGGUGGAAUUCCGGGUGUAGCGGUGAAAUGCGUAGAGAUCCGGAAGAACACCGGUGGCGAAGGCGGCCUGCUGGGCAGUGGCUGACGCUGAGGCGCGACAGCGUGGGGAGCAAACAGG
rnacentral:rRNA from 1 species